CUUCGGAUCUAACCGCCGCGCCCAUCCGCCUGUAACCGUCGUGCCUCUCCGCUCACAACCGUCGUGCCUCCCUCGGAAAGCAAAUCGUCGUCCAGAUCUGCAUUGCCGAGCCGUCCAGGUCCUCGCCGCCGCUCGUGCUUCACCUUGUAGUUCGCCGUAACCCAGAUCCAUCGCUGUCCGAUCUCUUCUCCUCGUCCCGCCGUCGCCGCUGCACUCGCCUGAAGUCAUCGUCCGUCCUGUUUCGCGAAGCUCCGCCGCUCCACCUGUUAUCGACGCCGGCCGACUAGCUACUAUUAAAAAAAAAAAAUCCAAAACCCUUCUGCCUUCGUUUGCAAAACGUCGCGGCGUGAAUUCUGCCUUCUAAUCGUGGAUUUGACCUCCAAGUUGUGAGUUGAUUGGUUAUUGUGGAUAUAGUAAUAUUGUUCUUGGCUAGUAAGUUUUAAAAACUGGUUAAUUGAUUUGGGUAAUGCUGAUUUUAAGGUGAUACUGAAGAGGUCGUGCUUAGAUAUCUAAGUUCCAACGUGAGCUUCAUUGGAAUUGUUGCUUCAUUCUACUUGGAAUUUGUCUUAUUGAAUUUAGCCCGAUUGAAAAACUUACAUAACCUUGAGGUAAGGGAUUUUCUACUGGACUCACCUAAAGUUUUUGAGUUGUGUUGGACUGUAUGGAUGAUGAUUAAGAUGUACAUGUUUGAUUGCAGACUAAAUGUUUAGUGUAUGUUGUAUUUGACUGGAAACAUAUAUAUAUACAUUGAUGUGUGAAUUGAUGUGGAUUGCCGAAAGUAUACAUGUGAAUGACUGAAAUUAUGCUUAUGUGUACAUGAUGAUAUUAAUAGAUUGUGCUGUAUAAAGAUUGGAUGUGAACUAGUGAAUUUGUUUCGGUUGGAUGUGGAUUAUACUGAACUGUGGUUUGUGCUGGUGAACUGAGGGGUGUAUUGACUUGACUGUAUAGUGGAUUGACUGAUGUAUUAGCAUUUUAUUGACAGACAUAUGAUUGUAGUAAAAUAAGUUGACUGUUAGGAUGUUGAAAGAAAGGACUUUGUGAUUUGAAGUAACUGAAAGAUGGGUUGAAUGGAAUGAGGGGAUAAAUUGUUAGGUUGUAUUGGGAUGUUUACCUUGUAGGUGUCCCACGGGAUCACCAAUUUAUUUUGCACCUUCGGGAGCAUUUGACUGAUAUGUGUUUCUGCAGAACACUUGACUGAUAUGUACGUCCCUCGGGGCGUUAGACUGAUAUGUACGUCCCUCGGGGCGUUAGACUGAUAUGUACGUCCUUCGGGGCGUUAGACUGAAUGUGUAUCCUACGGGAUCACAAGACUGCGACUGUACAGGGUGUCCCAAUAGAACUUUAACAAUUUAUUUUCCCCUGACGAGACCAGUAGAGGGUCUCUUACUGAGUAUUGUUAUACUCACCCUUCUUAUGUUUAAUUUUCAGGCAAAGGAAAUAAAGGUGGCAAACCGGCGAGGGGCAGGAAGGAAGCGUGAUUGCCAUAGGAAUGUGUUAUUUUGCUUCCGCUUAUGAUUUCUUUUAAGGUUUAAGAUGUACUAAAACUUAGUUUACAAACUUUUAUUUGUAAAUAGUGUUAUUUUAAGUUUUCUUGAAUAUUUGAAAAUCAGGCCUGACAUAUGUUUUGUUUUUAAAUUGACUUACGUUUCAUUUGUAUCAACCAAAGUCUUUUGUAAAAAUAAUAACGACCUCGACUUACUAGAAAAGUUGGGUCGUUACAGUUGGUAUCAGAGCCUAAGUUUUAGGUUCUGUAGACUGACUUACGAUGUAAGUCUAUGUUUUUGUGUAUGGCUAACGCGACCCUUCGUCUCUCGUCAGGUAUGCUUGAUGCUUAUAUGUAUGGUUUAUUUGCAUGACCUUGCCUAAAUUAAACUAGAUUGCAUGACGAUAAAGACUUGCUUAUGUUAUAUGAUUAAGAUUUUGUUAAAGAGUGUUGUUGGUGGAUAAUAGGAAUUAUGCCGCCAAGGGAAGAAGUACGUAGAGGAGGUCGUAGAGGCCGAGGUAGAGGAGCAGGAGGCCGAGGUAGAGGAGCAGGUCGUAAUCAGCCUACUGAGGGUCAAGCUGAACAGCGAAUUCCUGCUGCACCCGUGACUCACGUCGAGUUUGAUGCACUGUCUGCUCACAUGGAGCAGAGGUUUACAGAACUUAUGACAGCUAUAGCUCAAAACCAGCAGGCACCUGCAGUCCACCUGCACCUGUAGUUCCCCCUGCACCAGCAGCCCCCUCCUGCACAAGAAUUACCUAACCAACUUUCUGCUGAGGCGAAACAUUUGAGGGACUUUCGGAAGUAUGACCCUCAGACGUUUGAUGGGUCACUGGAGGAUCCUACUAAAGCUGAAAUGUGGUUGUCCUCUGUGGAAACCAUAUUUAAUUACAUGAGAUGUCCGAGGAGCACAGAGUUCAGUGUGCUGCUUUUCUACUGAGGGACAGAGGCAUUAUCUGGUGGAGGACUACAAUGCGCAUGCUAGGUGGAGAUGUGAGGCAAUUACCUGGGAUCAGUUUAAGAACUGCUUCUAUACCAAGUUUUUCUCGGCUAACCUUAGAGACGCCAAAAGCCAGGAAUUCUUGGAGUUGAAGCAAGGAUAUAUGACAGUCGAGGAGUACGACCAGGAGUUUGAUAUGCUGUCACGUUUUGCCCCUGAGCUUGUUAGUAAUGAGCAGGCUAGAGCUGAUAGGUUCGUCAAGGGAUUGAGAGAUGAAAUUAGGGGUUUUGUGCGAGCACUAAAGCCCACUACCCAAGCUGAAGCACUGCGUCUGGCAGUGGAUAUGAGUAUUGGGAAGGAUGAAAGACAGCCAAGGAGCUUUAAUAAGGGAUCGUCGUCGGGUCAAAAGAGAAAAGUAGAGCAGAGAACUGUAGGAGUUCCUCAGAGGAACAUGAGACCAGGUGAUUCUUUUCGCAGUUUCCAGCAGAGUUCUGGCGGUGCAGGAGACACUACUCAGAGAGGCCAGUAUGUAAUACGUGUGGGAAACGCCACCUGGGUCGUUGUUUGAUGGGAACGAGAGUCUGUUAUAAGUGCAAGCAAGAGGGACACAUGGCUGAUAGGUGUCCCUUGAGAUCUACUGGGCUGGAUCGAGCAGUCAGGGAGAGAGACCUCCACAGCGGGGUACAAUCUUUGCCACUAAUAGAUCAGAGGCAGAGAAGGCCGGCACAGUAGUGACAGGUACAUUACCAGUGUUAGGGCAUUUUGCCUUGACCUUGUUUGACUCGGGAUCUUCUCAUUCAUUUAUUUCAUCGCUUUUUGUGACGCAUGCAUGCUUAGAGGUGGAACCCUUAGACUAUGUUUUGUCAGUGUCUACACCGUCUGGAGAAAUUAUGUUGUCUAAGGAAAAGAUUAAAGCAUGUGAAAUUGAGAUAGCUGGUCGUGUGCUGGACGUAACCUUGUUGGUAUUAGAUAUGCGUGACUUUGAUGUAAUUUUAGGUAUGGAUUGGCUAGCUACUAAUCAUGCUAGUAUUGAUUGUUCUCGUAAGGAAGUUGUGUUCAGUCCCCCUACUGCAUCUAGCUUUAAAUUCAAGGGGUAGGAACAGUAGUACUGCCUAAAGUAAUCUCAGCUAUGAAAGCUAGUAAACUACUCAGCCAGGGUACUUGGAGUAUUUUGGCAAGUGUGGUGGAUACUAGGGAAGGUGAGACUUCUUUAACUUCAGAACCUGUGGUAAGAGACUACCCAGAUGUAUUUCCAAAAGAUCUUCCAGGACUACCGCCACAUAGAGAGGUUGAUUUUGCCAUUGAGUUGGAGCCAAACACUACUCCUAUUUCUAGAGCCCCUUAUAGGAUGGCUCCUACUGAGUUGAAAGAACUGAAGGUACAGUUACAGGAAUUGCUUGAUAAAGGCUUUAUUCGACCUAGUGUGUCACCUUGGGGUGCACCAGUAUUGUUUGUGAAGAAGAAGGAUGGGUCGAUGCGUCUUUGCAUUGACUAUAGAGAGUUGAAUAAAGUAACAGUCAAGAACAGAUAUCCUUUACCCAGAAUCGAUGAUUUGUUCGAUCGGUUACAGGGAGCCACGGUGUUCUCUAAGAUUGACUUACGGUCAGGUUAUCACCAGUUGAGGAUUAGAGACCGUGAUAUUCCUAAGACUGCUUUUCGUUCGAGGUAUGGACAUUAUGAAUUCAUAGUAAUGUCUUUUGGUUUGACUAAUGCACCUGCUGUAUUUAUGGAUUUGAUGAACAGGGUGUUUAAGGAUUUCUUGGACACUUUUGUGAUAGUCUUCAUUGAUGAUAUUUUGGUUUAUUCCAAGACUGAAGCCGAACAUGAGGAACACUUACAUAAGGUGUUAGAGACUCUUCGAGUCAAUAAACUGUAUGCUAAGUUCUCGAAGUGCGAAUUUUGGUUGAAGCAGGUGGCUUUUCUUGGUCAUGUGGUUUCCAGUGAGGGAGUUUCAGUAGACCCUGCAAAGAUAGAAGCGGUUACCAGUUGGUCUCGACCCUCUACAGUUAGUGAGGUUCGUAGUUUUCUGGGUUUAGCAGGGUACUACCGGAGGUUUGUGGAGGAUUUUUCACGUUUGGCUACUCCUUUGACUCAGUUGACAAGGAAGGGAACUCCGUUUGUUUGGAGUCCAGCUUGUGAGGAUAGUUUUCAGAACUUAAGCAAAGGUUAGUUACUGCACCGGUCCUUACGGUACCAGAUGGAUCUGGAAGUUUUGUGAUUUACAGUGAUGCUUCCAAGAAAGGACUGGGUUGUGUUUUGAUGCAGAAAGGUAAGGUGGUUGCUUAUGCCUCUCGUCAGUUGAAGAGUCACGAGCAGAACUACCCCACACAUGAUUUGGAGUUGGCAGCAGUGGUUUUUGCAUUGAAGAUAUGGAGACAUUACUUGUACGGUGAAAAGAUACAAAUCUUUACUGACCAAAGAGCCUAAAGUACUUCUUCACUCAGAAGGAGUUGAAUAUGAGACAGCGAAGGUGGCUCGAGUUGGUAAAAGAUUAUGACUGUGAGAUAUUGUACCAUCCUGGUAAGGCGAAUGUUGUGGCUGAUGCUCUUAGUAGAAAAGUAUCACAUUCGGCAGCACUCAUUACUAGACAGGUACCAUUGCAUCGAGACUUGGAGAGAGCUGAGAUUGCAGUGUCUGUGGGGAGAGUCACCUCACAGCUAGCUCAAUUAACGGUGCAACCGACUCUGAGGCACAAGAUUGUUGAUGCUCAGAGUAGUGAUCCUUAUUUAAUGGAGAGACGUCGCCUUGUUGAAACAGGGCAGACUGAUGAGUUCUCCAUAUCCUCUGAUGGUGGGUUGAUGUUUGAAAGACGUUUAUGUGCCAGCGAACAGUACAGUUAAGAUUGACUUACUAGAUGAAGCCCAUAAUUCCCCAUGUUCCAUGCAUCCUGGUAGCACGAAAAUGUAUCAGGAUUUAAAACGAUUUUACUGGUGGCGGAAUAUGAAAAGGAAGUGGCGGAAUUUGUUAGUAAGUGUCUAGUAUGUCAGCAAGUUAAGGCACCUAGACAGAAACCAGCAGGUUUGUUACAACCCUUAAGUGUGCCAGAGUGGAAGUGGGAGAAUGUGUCGAUGGAUUUUAUUUCAGGGCUGCCUAAGACCCUGAAGGGUUUUCACAGUGAUUCUGGUUGUCAUAGACAGGCUUACGAAAUCGGCACAUUUUAUACCAGGAAAAUCCACUUAUACUGCUAGUAAGUGGGCAGAGUUGUAUUUAACUGAGAUUGUGAGACUGCAUGGAGUGCCUGUAUCGAUUGUUUCUGAUAGGGAUGCACGGUUUACUUCCAAGUUUUGGAAGGGACUUCAGACUGCUAUGGGUACAAGAUUGGAUUUCAGUACAGCCUUUCAUCCACAGACUGAUGGUCAAACUGAACGUUUGAACCAAGUUUUAGAGGAUAUGCUACGAGCUUGUGUUCUAGAGUUUCCAGGUAGUUGGGACUCUCAUCUACAUUUAAUGGAGUUUGCUUAUAACAACAGUUUCCAGGCUACCAUCGGUAUGGCGCCAUUUGAAGCUUUGUAUGGUAAAUGUUGUAGAACCCCUGUUUGUUGGAGUGAGGUUGGUGAACAUAGGUUGAUGGGACCUGAAUUAGUUCGGUCUACUAAUGAGACUAUUCAAAAGAUUAGAGCACGUAUGCAAACAGCGCAGAGUAGACAGAAGAGUUAUGCAGAUGUACGGCGAAAAGACCUUAAGUUCGAUGUGGGAGAAAAGGUAUUCUUGAAGGUAGCACCUAUGAAGGGUGUUAUGCGUUUUGAGAAGAAAGGAAAGUUAAGUCCUCGUUUUGUUGGACCAUUUGAGAUCUUAGAGAGGGUUGGUGUUGUGGCGUAUCGCUUGGCAUUACCACCAUCUCUCUCUGCAGUUCAUAAUGUUUUCCAUGUUUCGAUGUUGAGGAAGUAUGUGGCCGAUACAUCUCAUGUAGUGGACUAUGAACCCUUGGAGAUUGAUGAGCAUUUGAGCUAUGUAGAACAACCUGUGGAGAUUCUGGCUAGAGAAAUAAAGAUGCUUCGUAAUAGAAGCAUUCCAUUAGUAAAGGUUUUGUGGCGGAAUCAUCGAAUUGAAGAGGCGACAUGGGAGCGAGAGGAAGAGAUGAGGACUCGUUAUCCAGAGUUAUUUCAGGAGUAAAACUUUCGAGGACGAAAGUUUCUUAAGGAGGGAAGAAUGUAAUGCCCCAAAGGUGUAUAUAUAUAUAUAUAUUUGUUUUUAUUAUAUAUAUAUAUAUAUAUAUAUAUAUAUAUAUAUAUAUAUUAUAUAUAUAUAUAUUUAUUUAUAUUUAAUUUAAAUAAAAAGACAAGAAAAAGAAAUUUAUCUCUCUCUCUCUCUCGCGCGCUGCACAGCCCCCCCCCCCCCCGUUCUCUUCUCUUUUCCUUUCUCUUUUCUCUUCUCCCUUCCGUCUCCUUCCGUUCGCAGCCAGCAACCGCCGCCCCUUCUUCUCUUUUCUUCCUCUUUCGUUCGACGUCGACGAUCAGACCAAGCCGAAAACGAAAACCCAUCCCUCUUUUCUUCUUCGGAUCUAAACCGCCGCGCCCAUCCGCCUGUAACCGUCGUGCCUCUCCGCUCACAACCGUCGUGCCUCCCUCGGAAAGCAAAUCGUCGUCCAGAUCUGCAUUGCCGAGCCGUCCAGGUCCUCGCCGCCGCUCGUGCUUCACCUUGUAGUUCGCCGUAACCCAGAUCCAUCGCUGUCCGAUCUCUUCUCCUCGUCCCGCCGUCGCCGCUGCACUCGCCUGAAGUCAUCGUCCGUCCUGUUUCGCGAAGCUCCGCCGCUCCACCUGUUAUCGACGGCGGCCGACUAGCUCUUAUUAAAAAAAAAAAAAAUCCAAAACCCUUCUGCCUUCGUUUGCAAAACGUCGCGGCGUGAAUUCUGCCUUCUAAUCGUGGAUUUGACCUCCAAGUUGUGAGUUGAUUGGUAUUGUGGAUAUAGUAAUAUUGUUCUUGGCUAGUAAGUUUUAAAAACUGGUUAAUUGAUUUGGGUAAUGCUGAUUUUAAGGUGAUACUGAAGAGGUCGUGCUUAGAUAUCUAAGUUCCAACGUGAGCUUCAUUGGAAUUGUUGCUUCAUUCUACUUGGAAUUUGUCUUAUUGAAUUUAGCCCGAUUGAAAAACUUACAUAACCUUGAGGUAAGGGAUUUUCUACUGGACUCACCUAAAGUUUUUGAGUUGUGUUGGACUGUAUGGAUGAUGAUUAAGAUGUACAUGUUUGAUUGCAGACUAAAUGUUUAGUGUAUGUUGUAUUUGACUGGAAACAUAUUAUAUACAUUGAUGUGUGAAUUGAUGUGGAUUGCCGAAAGUAUACAUGUGAAUGACUGAAAUUAUGCUUAUGUGUACAUGAUGAUAUUAAUAGAUUGUGCUGUAUAAAGAUUGGAUGUGAACUAGUGAAUUUGUUUCGGUUGGAUGUGGAUUAUACUGAACUGUGGUUUGUGCUGGUGAACUGAGGGGUGUAUUGACUUGACUGUAUAGUGGAUUGACUGAUGUAUUAGCAUUUUAUUGACAGACAUAUGAUUGUAGUAAAAUAAGUUGACUGUUAGGAUGUUGAAAGAAAGGACUUUGUGAUUUGAAGUAUCUGAAAGAUGGGUUGAAUGGAAUGAGGGGAUAAAUUGUUAGGUUGUAUUGGGAUGUUUACCUUGUAGGUGUCCCACGGGAUCACCAAUUUAUUUUGCACCUUCGGGAGCAUUUGACUGAUAUGUGUUUCUGCAGAACACUUGACUGAUAUGUACGUCCCUCGGGGCGUUAGACUGAUAUGUACGUCCUUCGGGGCGUUAGACUGAAAUGUGUAUCCUACGGGAUCACAAGACUGCGACUGUACAGGGUGUCCCAAUAGAACUUUAACAAUUUAUUUUCCCCUGACGAGACCAGUAGAGGGUCUCUUACUGAGUAUUGUUAUACUCACCCUUCUUAUGUUUAAUUUUCAGGCAAAGGAAAUAAAGGUGGCAAACCGGCGAGGGGCAGGAAGCGUGAUUGCCAUAGGGAAUGUGUUAUUUUGCUUCCGCUUAUGAUUUCUUUUAAGGUUUAAGAUGUACUAAAACUUCGUUUACAAACUUUUAUUUGUAAAUAGUGUUAUUGUUAAGUUUUCUUGAAUAUUUGAAAAUCAGGCCUGGCAUGUUUUGUUUUUAAAUUGACUUAUGUUUCAAUUUGUAUCAACCAAAGUCUUUUCUCAAAAAUAAUAACGACCUCCACUUACUUAGAAAAGUUGGGUCGUUACAGUUGGUAUCAGAGCCUAAGUUUUAGGUUCUGUAGACUGACUUACGAUGUAAGUCUAUGUUUUUGUGUUCCUAUGGCUAACGCAACCCUUCGUCUCUCGUCAGGUAUGCUUGAUGCUUAUAUGUAUGGUUUAUUUGCAUGACCUUGCCUAAAUUAAACUAGAUUGCAUGACGAUAAAGACUUGCUUAUGUUUAUGAUUAAGAUUUUGUUAAAGAGUGUUGUUGGUGGAUAAUAGGAAUUAUGCCGCCAAGGGAAGAAGUACGUAGAGGAGGUCGUAGAGGCCGAGGUAGAGGAGCAGGAGGCCGAGGUAGAGGAGUAGGUCGUAAUCAGCCUACUGAGGGUCAAGCUGAACAUCGAAUUCCUGCUGCACCCGUGACUCACGUCGAGUUUGAUGCACUGUCUGCUCACAUGGAGCAGAGGUUUACAGAACUUAUGACAGCCAUAGCUCAAAACCAGCAGGCACCUGCAGUCCCACCUGCACCUGUAGUUCCCCUGCACAGCAGCCCCUCCUGCACAAGAAUUACCUAACCAACUUUCUGCUGAGGCGAAACAUUUGAGGGACUUUCGGAAGUAUGACCCUCAGACGUUUGAUGGGUCACUGGAGGAUCCUACUAAAGCUGAAAUGUGGUUGUCCUCUGUGGAAACCAUAUUUAAUUACAUGAGAUGUCCCGAGGAGCACAGAGUUCAGUCUGCUGCUUUUCUACUGAGGGACAGAGGCAUUAUCUGGUGGAGGACUACAAUGCGCAUGCUAGGUGGAGAUGUGAGGCAAAUUACCUGGGAUCAGUUUAAGAACUGCUUCUAUACCAAGUUUUUCUCGGCUAACCUUAGAGACGCCAAAAGCCAGGAAUUCUUGGAGUUGAAGCAAGGAUAUAUGACAGUCGAGGAGUACGACCAGGAGUUUGAUAUGCUGUCACGUUUUGCCCCUGAGCUUGUUAGUAAUGAGCAGGCUAGAGCUGAUAGGUUCGUCAAGGAUUGAGAGAUGAAAUUAGGGGUUUUGUGCGAGCACUAAAGCCCACUACCCAAGCUGAAGCACUGCGUCUGGCAGUGGAUAUGAGUAUUGGGAAGGAUGAAAGACAGCCAAGGAGCUUUAAUAAGGGAUCGCCGUCGGUCAAAAGAGAAAAGUAGAGCAGAGAACUGUAGGAGUUCCUCAGAGGAACAUGAGACCAGGUGAUUCUUUUCGCAGUUUCCAGCAGAGUUCUAGCGGUGCAGGAGACACUACUCAAGAGAGGCCAGUAUGUAAUACGUGUGGGAAACGCCACCUGGGUCGUUGUUUGAUGGGAACGAGAGUCUGUUAUAAGUGCAAGCAAGAGGGACACAUGGCUGAUAGGUGUCCCUUGAGAUCUACUGGGGCUGGAUCGAGCAGUCAGGGAGAGAGACCUCCACAGCGGGGUACAAUCUUUGCCACUAAUAGAUUAGAGGCAGAGAAGGCCGGCACAGUAGUGACAGGUACAUUACCAGUGUUAGGGCAUUUUGCCUUGACCUUGUUUGACUCGGGAUCUUCUCAUUCAUUUAUUUCAUCGCUUUUUGUGACACAUGCAUGCUUAGAAGUGGAACCCUUAGACUAUGUUUUGUCAGUGUCUACACCGUCUGGAGAAAUUAUGUUGUCUAAGGAAAAGAUUAAAGCAUGUGAAAUUGAGAUAGCUGGUCGUGUGCUGGACGUAACCUUGUUGGUAUUAGAUAUGCGUGACUUUGAUGUAAUUUUAGGUAUGGAUUGGCUAGCUACUAAUCAUGCUAGUAUUGAUUGUUCUCGUAAGGAAGUUGUGUACCUCCUAACUCUAUAUGUAGUGGAGCUAACUAAGAUGUCUCUCUCAUCCUUUAAGAUCGAUUGAGAUUAUAACUUGUUUUUUUGCUUUAUGGACACAUAUGAUUUUUAAGAGAUGGGAUUAGACAACG
rnacentral:lncRNA from 1 species